rnacentral:rRNA from 1 species
UACGGAGGGCGCAAGCGUUGUUCGGAAUUACUGGGCGUAAAGCGCGUGUAGGCGGCGUGUUAAGUCGACCGUGAAAGCCCAUGGCUCAACCAUGGAAGUGCAGUCGAAACUGGCGCGCUGGAGUCCCGGAGAGGGUGGUGGAAUUCCCAGUGUAGAGGUGAAAUUCGUAGAUAUUGGGAGGAACACCGGUGGCGAAGGCGACCACCUGGACGGGUACUGACGCUGAGACGCGACAGCGUGGGGAGCAAACAGG